rnacentral:rRNA from 1 species
CCUACGGGUCGCAGCAGUGGGGAAUAUUGCACAAUGGGCGCAAGCCUGAUGCAGCCAUGCCGCGUGUAUGAAGAAGGCCUUCGGGUUGUAAAGUACUUUCAGCGGGGAGGAAGGGAGUAAGGUUAAUAACCUUAUUCAUUGACGUUACCCGCAGAAGAAGCACCGGCUAACUCCGUGCCAGCAGCCGCGGUAAUACGGAGGGUGCAAGCGUUAAUCGGAAUUACUGGGCGUAAAGCGCACGCAGGCGGUCUGUCAAGUCGGAUGUGAAAUCCCCGGGCUCAACCUGGGAACUGCAUUCGAAACUGGUAGGCUGGAGUCUUGUAGAGGGGGGUAGAAUUCCAGGUGUAGCGGUGAAAUGCGUAGAGAUCUGGAGGAAUACCGGUGGCGAAGGCGGCCCCUUGGACAAAGACUGACGCUCAGGUGCGAAAGCGUGGGGAGCAAACAGGAUUAGAUACCCCUGUAGUC